rnacentral:rRNA from 1 species
GUGUCAGCCGCCGCGGUAAUACGUAGGGGGCGAGCGUUGUCCGGAUUUAUUGGGCGUAAAGCGCAUGCAGGCGGUCCUGUAAGUUUGAAGUGACAGUUUCCGGCUCAACCGGGAAAGUGCUUUGAAAACUGCGGGACUUGAGGGCUUCAGAGGGACACGGAAUUCCGGGUGGAGUGGUGAAAUGCGUAGAUAUCCGGAGGAACACCGAAGGCGAAGGCAGUGUCCUGGGGAGUACCUGACGCUCAGAUGCGAAAGCCAGGGGAGCGAACGGGAUUAGAUACCCCGGUAGUCC